UACGGAGGGUGCGAGCGUUAAUCGGAAUUACUGGGCGUAAAGCGCACGCAGGCGGUUUGUUAAGCAAGAUGUGAAGCCCCGGGCUCAACCUGGGAACUGCAUUUUGAACUGGCAGACUAGAGUCUUGGAGAGGGGGGUGGAAUUCCAGGUGUAGCGGUGAAAUGCGUAGAGAUCUGGAGGAACAUCAGUGGCGAAGGACGCCCCUGGCCGAGCAGACUGACGCUCAGUGAUGCGGAAAGUGUGGGGUAGCGAAACAGGAUUGAGAUACCCGCGUAGUCC
rnacentral:rRNA from 1 species